CACCAGGUUGAUUCUGCCUGACGUAGACGCUAUUCCCUAAGAUUAACCCAUGCAUGUUUUUGACAUUUGAAAAAUGGACUGCUCAGUAAUACUCACUUUAUUUUAUGUAAAUUUUUGAUUAAUUAACUACGUUAAAGUGUAGAUAAGAUGUUUACAGUAAGAGUGAGACCUAUCGGCUAGUUGUUAAGGUAAUGGCUUAACAAGGCUGUGACGGGUAACGGUAUUACUUUGUAAUAUUCCGGAGAAGGAGCCUGAGAGACGGCUACUAAGUCUAAGGAUUGCAGCAGGGGCGAAACUUGACCUAUGGAUUUUAUCUGAGGCAGUUAUGGGAAGUAAUAUUAUAUUGUUUCAUAUUUUAAAAGUAUAUGAGGUGAUUAAUUGGAGGGCAAAUCAAGUGCCAGCAGCCGCGGUAAUACUUGUUCCAAGAGUGUGUAUGAUGAUUGAUGCAGUUAAAAAGUCCGUAGUUUAUUUUUUUAAGAAGCAAUAUGAGGUGUACUGUAUAGUUGGGAGAAAGAUGAAAUGUGACGACCCUGACUGGACGAACAGAAGCGAAAGCU
rnacentral:rRNA from 1 species